rnacentral:rRNA from 1 species
UCCGUAGGCGGGCGACUAAGUCAGAGGUGAAAUCCCACAGCUUAACUGUGGAACUGCCUUUGGUACUGGUUGUCUUGAGUUAUAGUGAAGUAGAUAGAAUAUGUAGUGUAGCGGUGAAAUGCUUAGAUAUUACAUAGAAUACCGAUUGCGAAGGCAGUCUACUAACUAUAUACUGACGCUAAUGGACGAAAGCGUGGGGAGCGAACAGGAUUAGAUACCCUGGUAGUC